GAUGAACGCUGGCGGCGUGCCUAAUACAUGCAAGUCGAACGCUGGAGAUCUAGCUUGCUAGAUCGAAGGAGUGGCGAACGGGUGAGUAAUACAUAAGCAACCUACCCACGAAGACUGGGAUAAUCUCUGGAAACGGGGACUAAUACCGGAUAGGUAAUCGGAAGGCAUCUUCUGGUUAUUAAAGGUUAAAAACACUGGUGGAUGGGCUUAUGGCGCAUUAGUUAGUUGGUGAGGUAACGGCCCACCAAGACGAUGAUGCGUAGCCGGCCUGAGAGGGUGAACGGCCACAUUGGGACUGAGACACGGCCCAGACUCCUACGGGAGGCAGCAGUAGGGAAGUUUCGGCAAUGGGGGCAACCCUGACCGAGCAACGCCGCGUGAGUGAAGACGGCCUUCGGGUUGUAAAGCUCUGUUGUAAGGGAAGAACGGUAGAUAGAGAAUAUCUAAGUGACGGUACCUUACCGGAAAGCCACGGCUAACUACGUG
rnacentral:rRNA from 1 species